UACAAACACCCUUAUCUCUUCCCCUGCAGCCUCUCUCCCAGUGGCUGAAUAGUCCAAGGAGCAAGCUCUGCUGCAGUUAAAGUGUGACAGAAGCAGUGUCAGUUGCAGCCUUCUGAAGAACCUGCUUUCUUAAUAUAGGAACACUUAUUUCUCUGUUAUGAGGGGAUGCUUGCUUUAGAGGCUUCUAUUUCCUAGCUUCUUCCCCUAACCAUCUUUGUCUUUCAAAAGCCUCAAAUUGGGCUGAACUCACAAAAGCUUUUCCUCCCUCAGUGUGAUUUUUUUUUUUUUUUUCCUUCUGCUGUCCAAACCAAGGACCAAUCUCCGCCCUUUAUGUUUGUGCUAGUCUAGCCAAUGCCUGCACCCUGAAUUCGUUAAACAAGUCCCUGCGCAAAGGAGAAAAGGCUCUGGCUUGGAUCUGCUGGUCUCUUAGAUUUGAGUUCUGGCUCAGAUGGGGAGAGGAAGGACUGUGUUACCACUGAUGGAAGCCUCUGUUACAUUUUGAUUUCCUUACUGUACCCCAGUCAUGAGUCACUUGUGUCUCCCCUGUCGAGAUCCUCACUCCUUUGUAUCUCCAAGGCUCUUCUCACAGUGGUUAAAGCCCUGUAGUUUUUCUUUCUUCUUUUGAGACAAAGCAGGGAGCUUUGUGAGGCAAAAACUGCAGGAGAAUCUUAGUGCAGUAUGAUUUCAUAGGACAGUUGUAUGAAAUCCUAACUACUCUGUACAUUGUCAAAGCACAGGCUGUAUUAUCAAUGCAGCAAAUCCAAGGCUGCAUCACAGAAAAGUGAUGGCAGUUAGUCAGCUGAACCCUCGCAUGAACCGUUGCCCAAAUACAUAGUUCCAACUGCAGAGCCUUCACCGUUGACUAGGACGUCAUAAGUUGAAACCUUUGCUCUUUCACUGACAGUAAGACUGUCAGAGGGUAGGAUUUCACCCUGAACCUAGUUCUCCUCUUUGUAGUUGCACUAAAAUCUCAAUUGCUUCAGUGAGUCAGAACUGCAGAAAUGGGUCUGCCUUGCUCAAGCUCUGCUUCCCUAUCCCCAAGCCUUAUUUUCUGCUUUUUCGCUUCCCUUUGUCACCAGAUGCAAGCUGUGUCCCCCUUCCUCUCAUUCUCCAAGGUCUGAUUUCUGCCUCGAAAUUCUUCUCACACAGUUUUUACUUCCUUCUUCCUAAGUCUUGCUCUCCUGCUCUCAGGUGCUUAUUGCUGUCAGAGCAUAGCCCCUCUCCCUGGCUCAUCUCAGCCACAGGGGCCUGGGUCCUCUCUCCAUGCCAGCUUCACAUUUUCUUAGUUCUGAGGUCACUUUUUAAGGGCGUUUUCACCUCCCUUUUGUUACCUGAACAAUAAGUAACCCAGGUAGUUAGUUAUAAACUCAAAGGGAACAAGAGGCUGGUUGAUAAUUUAUAGCAACAUCUCAAAUUUAAAUGGAAAGUAAAUAUCAAGUUGUUAGCAUUAAAGAAAACCCAUUCCAGAGAGCUAGAGAUGUAACAUUCAGGGACCUUCUCCCUCCUUCACUCUUCCUGACUUUUCUCUUUCCUUUGUUUGUUUCUUUCCCCUCCUCUUCCUCCUUCUCUCUGUCUUUCCUUUCCUCCUUUCCUGCUCUUAGAUUCUCCGGUGAGAGAAGCCUUCAUGUCCCUGAUGUGGGUUCUGAAUUGUUGCUUUGGACCAGACCUUGCUUAAACAGAGGUUCAGAGCUGCGAAGUACUCAGGACCAUCCUCUGGCCCUUUCCUCUGGAGCCUGCCAGACAAGCCUCACUGAUGUCAGUGCACAGCCUGGAGCCAGGCUAGGCAGAGAGCAGGGAAGAUGGCGUCUGCACCCAGAGAACCAGGUCCCCUCAUGGCCGUGAGUUAAAAAAUCUCAGACGGAUACAGAAGACUCUCUUUGUGUGGCUAAAAAGAAGGAACAAUUUGGAGUCGAUGUUAAAACGCUUAGUGUAAGAAAUUUUCACGUGAACAUUAAUGUAAAAAUACAUUUUAGUUUCUAACUUUUUUUCCAUACUCUUAAUAAAAAGUAUUUAAAGAAU